ACGCUACAGAUGAGGAGGCUUCGGAGAACUGAAUGUGAAAAAUAUAUGAGCAUGAUCCUUGUUGUUUAGGAUACUUGAUUUUGCCCAUUGGACCAGCCCAUCAUUUCUUCAUUGUCAGUCUGGAAACAUCUCUUGCAGGCUCAUAUUCCAUGGAGCACUGCAAGAGCGUCUGGCAGCUAAAGAGGGAAAAGAUGGAUCUUCAAGCCUCUGGAAAGAUGAAGGCAACGCCAUAAAGCAGGGAGAACAGAAAUCAGGACAUAUGCUUUCUCCUGAAAUCCACAGAGCCCUACAAAUCUCGAAGAACCAUGUGCAAGGAGAGAAGAUGAGCAGCCACAAGAGCAGAGAAGAAGCAGCACCUGCUCUGACCCAACCCAAGCACCACAAACAUGGCCCUAGUGCUGACCUCCUGCUCCGGGCCUGCCUGUAUGGCUGUGGGCUGGCCCUGGUGCUCAGCAAACCACUCACUACAUCCUCCUCUCAUGCUCGAGCUCCCUCCUUCAUGCAUCCAAGGUCCUCUCCCAAUGGCAGCAUUGAAGCAGCAGAGAAGUCGUGCUUUUCUCAGAGGACUUAUGGCACAAAGACAGUACCUAAGGGUACCUGUAUAUGCCUGCCCUUGGCAGUAUGAGCUGACAGAAGGUGGCACAGCAGAGCUGGUAUUUACUCAUAGUGUGCCUGCCAUGGAAAGUCAACUUGACCAAACAAUCAAUUUAAGAACUCCAGCUUGCCUUUGGGAACUACAAAAAUGUUGGACGCGGCAUUUACCUCACCAUCAGGACUCAUCUAUCUCUUGUCUCCUGCGCUUCAGAUACCUAAACCUCAUUCCAACCAGAAACAUUCCUGCAAUUGGAAUCUUCCCAUCUAAUGUCUGUCUGCAUGAUUUCAACACAGUUCUACAGAGAAACUUCCACAAGUAGUAGAGGCUCUCUCCCUGAAGAUAUUCAAAAGUCUGGUGAACCAGCUCUAGGUGGCUCUGCCUGAACAAGGGGGGCUGGACCAGAUGACUUUCAGAGGUCUGUUCCUACCUCAGCCCUCCCGUGAUUCUGUGAAGUUUUGUUCACAGCACAAGUACUCUUCCAAGAGUAAAACCUAUGUGCUGUAGAAA